AGAGUUUGAUCAUGGCUCAGGAUGAACGCUAGCGGGAGGCCUAACACAUGCAAGCCGAGCGGUAGAGAUUCUUCGGAAUCUUGAGAGCGGCGUACGGUGCGGAACACGUGUGCCAACUACCUUUAUCUGGAGGAUAGCCUUUCGAAAGGAAGAUUAAUACUCCAUAAUAUAUUGAUUGGCAUCAAUUGAUAUUGAAAGCUCCGGCGGAUAGAGAUGGGCACGCGCAAGAUUAGUUAGUUGGUGAGGUAACGGCUCACCAAGACGAUGAUCUUUAGGGGGCCUGAGAGGGUGAUCCCCCACACUGGUACUGAGACACGGACCAGACUCCUACGGGAGGCAGCAGUGAGGAAUAUUGGUCAAUGGGUGCAAGCCUGAACCAGCCAUCCCGCGUGAAGGACGACUGCCCUAUGGGUUGUAAACUUCUUUUGUAUAGGGAUAAACCUACCCUCGUGAGGGUAGCUGAAGGUACUAUACGAAUAAGCACCGGCUAACUCCGUG
rnacentral:rRNA from 1 species